UACGUAGGGUGCAAGCGUUGUCCGGAAUUAUUGGGCGUAAAGAGCUCGUAGGCGGUCUGUUGCGUCGGCUGUGAAAACCCGGGGCUCAACUCCGGGCCUGCAGCCGAUACGGGCAGACUAGAGUUCGGCAGGGGAGACUGGAAUUCCUGGUGUAGCGGUGAAAUGCGCAGAUAUCAGGAAGAACACCCGUGGCGAAGGCGGUUCUCUGGAACGCAACUGACGCUGAGACGCGAAAGCGUGGGGAGCAAACAGG
rnacentral:rRNA from 1 species